GUCUGUGGUGAAACCACCCUGAACGCGCCUGAUCUCGUCUGAUCUCUGGAGUUAAGCAGGGUCGGGCCUGGUUAGUACUUGGAUGGGAGAAAUCUCACUGCAAUCU
rnacentral:rRNA from 1 species